AACGAACGCUGGCGGCAUGCCUAACACAUGCAAGUCGAACGAGACCUUCGGGUCUAGUGGCGCACGGGUGCGUAACGCGUGGGAACCUGCCCUUAGGUUCGGGAUAACUCCCCGAAAGGGGUGCUAAUACCGGAUAAUGUCUUCGGACCAAAGAUUUAUCGCCUUUGGAUGGGCCCGCGUUGGAUUAGCUUGUUGGUAGGGUAAAAGCCUACCAAGGCGACGAUCCAUAGCUGGUCUGAGAGGAUGAUCAGCCACACUGGGACUGAGACACGGCCCAGACUCCUACGGGAGGCAGCAGUGGGGAAUAUUGGACAAUGGGCGAAAGCCUGAUCCAGCAAUGCCGCGUGAGUGAUGAAGGCCUUAGGGUUGUAAAGCUCUUUUACCCGGGAUGAUAAUGACAGUACCGGGAGAAUAAGCUCCGGCUAACUCCGUG
rnacentral:rRNA from 1 species